rnacentral:rRNA from 1 species
UACGGAGGAUGCAAGCGUUAUCCGGAUUCAUUGGGUUUAAAGGGUGCGCAGGCGGAAUAAUAAGUCAGCGGUGAAAGCCUACAGCUUAACUGUAGAACUGCCAUUGAUACUGUUAUUCUUGAGUGUUGUUGAGGUAGGCGGAAUGUGUCAUGUAGCGGUGAAAUGCUUAGAUAUGACACAGAACACCGAUCGCGAAGGCAGCUUACCAAGCAACAACUGACGCUCAUGCACGAAAGCGUGGGGAUCAAACAGGAUUAGAUACCCUGGUAGUCCACGCCGUAAACGAUGAUCACUCGAUGUUGGCGAUACACAGUCAGCGUCUUAGCGAAAGUAUUAAGUGAUCCACCUGGGGAGUACGGUCGCAAGAUUGAAACUCAAAGGAAUUGACGGGGGCCCGCACAAGCGGAGGAGCAUGUGGUUUAAUUCGAUGAUACGCGAGGAACCUUACCUGGGCUCGAACGUGGAAUGACAGUCGCGGAAACGUGAUCUUCUUCGGACAUUCUACGAGGUGCUGCAUGGUUGUCGUCAGCUCGUGCCGUGAGGUGUCGGGUUAAGUCCCAUAACGAGCGCAACCCCUAUCUUUAGUUGCCAUCAGGUAAUGCUGGGGACUCUAAAGAAACUGCCUACGCAAGUAGUGAGGAAGGCGGGGAUGACGUCAAAUCAGCACGGCCCUUACGUCCAGGGCUACACACGUGCUACAAUGGUCGGUACAGAGGGCAGCUACCUGGUGACAGGAUGCAAAUCUCCAAAGCCGGUCUCAGUUCGGAUCGAAGUCUGAAACUCGACUUCGUGAAGUUGGAUUCGCUAGUAAUCGCGCAUCAGCCAUGGCGCGGUGAAUACGUUCCCGGGCCUUGUACACACCGCCCGUCAAGCCAUGGAAGUCUGGGGUACCUGAAGUCGGUGACCGUAAAAGGAGCUGCCUAGGGUAAAACAGGUAACUAGGGCUAAGUCGUAACAAGGUAGCCGUACCGGAAGGUGCGGCUG